CCUACGGGAGGCUGCAGUCGAGGAUCUUCGGCAAUGAGCGCAAGCUUGACCGAGCGACGCCGCGUGUGCGAUGAAGGCCUUCGGGUUGUAAAGCACUGUCGAGAGGGAGAAAAGGAAACUUGAUCUAUCUCUGGAGGAAGCACGGGCUAAGUUCGUGCCAGCAGCCGCGGUAAGACGAACCGUUCGAACGUUGUUCGGAAUCACUGGGCUUAAAGGGCGCGUAGGCGGGUCGCCAAGUUUGGGGUGAAAUCCUCCGGCUCAACCGGAGAACUGCCUUAAAUACUGGCGAUCUUGAGGGGGAUAGGGGCAUGCGGAACUACGGGUGGAGCGGUGAAAUGCGUUGAUAUCCGUAGGAACUCCGGUGGCGAAGGCGGCGUGCUGGAUCCCUUCUGACGCUGAGGCGCGAAAGCCAGGGGAGCAAACGGGAUUAGAUACCCUAGUAGUC
rnacentral:rRNA from 1 species